rnacentral:rRNA from 1 species
UACGGAGGAUCCAAGCGUUAUCCGGAAUCAUUGGGUUUAAAGGGUCCGCAGGCGGCUAUUUAAGUCAGGCGUGCAAGCCCACGGCUCAACCGUGGAAUUGCGUUUGAAACUAUUUAGCUUGAGUACAGGAGAGGAAGGCGGAAUUCCCAGUGUAGCGGUGAAAUGCAUUGAUAUUGGGAAGAACACCGGUGGCGAAGGCGGCCUUCUGGUCUGAUACUGACGCUGAGAUACGAAAGCCAGGGGAGCGAACGGG